rnacentral:rRNA from 1 species
ACGCACGCUGGCGGCAUGCCUAACACCUGCCAGUCGCACGAGACCUUCGGGUCUAGUGGCGCACGGGUGCGUAACGCGUGGGAACCUGCCCUUAGGUUCGGAAUAACUCCCCGAAAGGGGUGCUAAUACCGGAUAAUGUCUUCGGACCAAAGAUUUAUCGCCUUUGGAUGGGCCCGCGUUGGAUUAGCUAGUUGGUAGGGUAAAAGCCUACCAAGGCGACGAUCCAUAGCUGGUCUGAGAGGAUGAUCAGCCACACUGGGACUGAGACACGGCCCAGACUCCUACGGGAAGCAGCAGUGGGGAAUAUUGGACAAUGGGCGAAAGCCUGAUCCAGCAAUGCCGCGUGAGUGAUGAAGGCCUUAGGGUUGUAAAGCUCUUUUACCCGGGAUGAUAAUGACAGUACCGGGAGAAUAAGCUCCGGCUAACUCCGUG